rnacentral:lncRNA from 10 species
ACAGGGACUACACGCCCGGCUAAUAUUUUUUCUUUGUAUUUUUAAAUAGAGACGGGGUUUCACCGUCUUAGCCAGGAUGGUCUUGAUCUCCUGACCUUGUGAUCCACCCGCCUCGGCCUCCCAAAGUGCUGGGAUUACAGGCGUGAGCCACCGCGCCCGGCCGAUCUGAUGAUUUUAUAAGGGGCACUUCCCCCUUCUCUCAGCAAUUCUCCUUGCUGCCUUGUGAAGAAGGUACUCUGCUUCCCCUUCACCUUCCGCCAUGAUUGUGAGUUUCCUUAGGCCUCCCAGCCUUGCUGAACUGACCUCGGAUACCUUCAAAAAUGAGCUACAAAUAUGAAUGAAACAAACCUAAAUGUGGAGCUUUGAUUUGCAGAUCAGUUUCUCUUGAGAAAUCAAGGUGACAAAAAUAAACUUGUCAGUAAUCCUGGCAUCUUUUAUAUUUGAUGGCUUUCAAAAUUAAAACUUGCAGAAAACAUAAACUUUCAUCCCAAAACCAGUAAU